AGCAGCCGCGGUAAUUCCAGCUCCAAUAGCGUAUAUUAAAGUUGUUGCAGUUAAAAAGCUCGUAGUUGAAUUUCGGGAUUAGUACGCUGGUCGUGCCUUCGGUAUGUACUGGUGUUACUGGUUCCUACCUUCUGACGAACCGUCAUGUCAUUAAUUUGGUGUGGCGGGGAAUCAGGACUGUUACUUUGAAAAAAUUAGAGUGUUUAAAGCAGGCUCGCGCUUGAAUACAUUAGCAUGGAAUAAUGAAAUAGGACGUUCGAUCCUAUUUUGUUGGUUUCUAGGAUUGACGUAAUGAUUAAUAGGGAUAGUUGGGGGCAUUAGUAUUCAAUUGUCAGAGGUGAAAUUCUUGGAUUUAU
rnacentral:rRNA from 1 species